CAGUAGCCGCGGUAAUACGUAGGUCCCGAGCGUUGUCCGGAUUUAUUGGGCGUAAAGCGAGCGCAGGCGGUUAGAUAAGUCUGAAGUUAAAGGCUGUGGCUUAACCAUAGUACGCUUUGGAAACUGUUUAACUUGAGUGCAAGAGGGGAGAGUGGAAUUCCAUGUGUAGCGGUGAAAUGUGUAGAUAUAUGGAGGAACACCGGUGGCGAAAGCGGCUCUCUGGCUUGUAACUGACGCUGAGGCUCGAAAGCGUGGGGAGCAAACAGGAUUAGAUACCCGUGUAGUCCCUGUCUCUUAUACC
rnacentral:rRNA from 1 species